CGAACGAACUCUGGUAUUGAUUGGUGCUUGCAUCAUGAUUUACAUUUGAGUGAGUGGCGAACUGGUGAGUAACACGUGGGAAACCUGCCCAGAAGCGGGGGAUAACACCUGGAAACAGAUGCUAAUACCGCAUAACAACUUGGACCGCAUGGUCCGAGCUUGAAAGAUGGCUUCGGCUAUCACUUUUGGAUGGUCCCGCGGCGUAUUAGCUAGAUGGUGGGGUAACGGCUCACCAUGGCAAUGAUACGUAGCCGACCUGAGAGGGUAAUCGGCCACAUUGGGACUGAGACACGGCCCAAACUCCUACGGGAGGCAGCAGUAGGGAAUCUUCCACAAUGGACGAAAGUCUGAUGGAGCAACGCCGCGUGAGUGAAGAAGGGUUUCGGCUCGUAAAACUCUGUUGUUAAAGAAGAACAUAUCUGAGAGUAACUGUUCAGGUAUUGACGGUAUUUAACCAGAAAGCCACGGCUAACUACGUGCCAGCAGCCGCGGUAAUACGUAGGUGGCAAGCGUUGUCCGGAUUUAUUGGGCGUAAAGCGAGCGCAGGCGGUUUUUUAAGUCUGAUGUGAAAGCCUUCGGCUCAACCGAAGAAGUGCAUCGGAAACUGGGAAACUUGAGUGCAGAAGAGGACAGUGGAACUCCAUGUGUAGCGGUGAAAUGCGUAGAUAUAUGGAAGAACACCAGUGGCGAAGGCGGCUGUCUGGUCUGUAACUGACGCUGAGGCUCGAAAGUAUGGGUAGCAAACAGGAUUAGAUACCCUGGUAGUCCAUACCGUAAACGAUGAAUGCUAAGUGUUGGAGGGUUUCCGCCCUUCAGUGCUGCAGCUAACGCAUUAAGCAUUCCGCCUGGGGAGUACGGCCGCAAGGCUGAAACUCAAAGGAAUUGACGGGGGCCCGCACAAGCGGUGGAGCAUGUGGUUUAAUUCGAAGCUACGCGAAGAACCUUACCAGGUCUUGACAUACUAUGCAAAUCUAAGAGAUUAGACGUUCCCUUCGGGGACAUGGAUACAGGUGGUGCAUGGUUGUCGUCAGCUCGUGUCGUGAGAUGUUGGGUUAAGUCCCGCAACGAGCGCAACCCUUAUUAUCAGUUGCCAGCAUUAAGUUGGGCACUCUGGUGAGACUGCCGGUGACAAACCGGAGGAAGGUGGGGAUGACGUCAAAUCAUCAUGCCCCUUAUGACCUGGGCUACACACGUGCUACAAUGGAUGGUACAACGAGUUGCGAACUCGCGAGAGUAAGCUAAUCUCUUAAAGCCAUUCUCAGUUCGGAUUGUAGGCUGCAACUCGCCUACAUGAAGUCGGAAUCGCUAGUAAUCGCGGAUCAGCAUGCCGCGGUGAAUACGUUCCCGGGCCUUGUACACACCGCCCGUCACACCAUGAGAGUUUGUAACACCCAAAGUCGGUGGGGUAACCUUUUAGGAACCAGCCGCC
rnacentral:rRNA from 1 species